GGUUACAUCAAGAAGUCAGCAGUCUGUAACCUGGAAGAGGGCCCUCACCAGAACCCAACCAUGCUGGCACCCUGACCUCCGACUUCCAGAGCUCUGAGAAAUGAAUGUGUUAUUUAUAAACCACACGGUCUAUGGUUAAAAGAUCUGUUGCUCCACUCAGCGUUAUGGACCCAGGAAAUCAGCAACUAAGGAACAACUGCAAACUUUGAAGUCAGUAAGGACCCAGGAAAUUAGAAGCUAAGGGAUCGUGACCUUUGAAGUAAA
rnacentral:lncRNA from 10 species